UGUGGUGAUCCGGCUGAGGACCGAGGACCCAGGCAUGGGGCAUGUAUCCAUGACAUGGCAAAGAAUCUCACAAGACUCGUCAAGCCUGAUUACUACUACCCACUUCUGGUGAUUCAUGCAGAUGCAAGUGAUGCUGAUAGAGGGAACCUAGAAAGCAUCACUCAAAAUUAUGAAGUCUGGAGCAAAAAAUUAAGGCCUUGGGAGCAUAAGGGUUUUCAUCUCUUCUGUCAAUCAAAAGCUGGUUUUGAAAAAGAUUGGAAAGUAAAUACCUGGCUAAGAAUAUAACAUUUAUUUGUUUGGGGAAUGGCUUAAUAAAUUAUCAUACACAAAUGUAA